AGGAUUUUGACUGUUGUACGUGCCAAACAGACUAGCUUUUUUGUUUCCCACAUUAUACAGGAAGUGAAUAAGACCUCUUGGGAACACAAACACAUCGCCAGGAUACAGGAUUUUGGAUAAGAGGCGAGUCUUAAAGAUGUUCGCAGGAUCACUGACAAAAAUUCCUACAAGGAGCGUACCCUUCAGGACAGUUACCAGUUCAGUACCUCGAGGAUGCGUGUGAAAUGGAAAAAGACUUUGUGGUUCAAUGUCAGCACGAGAAGUUGAAAUACCAAGAGUGUUAAGUCCAGGCAUUUCCUUUACACCCACAACAGUUACAGCAAUACCAAACUUGGG
rnacentral:lncRNA from 1 species